GAGGGUAUAGCUUAGUGGCAAACUGCAUGCUUAGCAUGCACGAGGUCCUGGGUUUGAUCCCCAGUACCUCCA
rnacentral:tRNA from 1 species